CCCUUAGAUGUUCUGGGCCGCACACGCGCUACACUGAAGGAGGCAGCGUGUACUCCUGGAUCGAAAGAUUUGGGUAACCCGCGAAUCUCCUUCGUGCUAGGGAUUGAGGUUUGCAAUUAUCCUUCAUGAACGAGGAAUUCCCAGUAAGUGCAAGUCAUAAGCUUGCGCUGACUACGUCCCUGCCCUUUGUACACACCGCCCGUCGCUACUACCGAUUGAGUGAUCCGGUGAAUGGUUCGGACUCUGGCUAUGCUAGCUACUAGCUACGUCAGGGAAAGUUCUGUGAACCUUAUCACUUGGAGGAAGGAGAAGUCGUAACA
rnacentral:rRNA from 1 species